GUGCUCGCUUUGGCAGCACAUAUACUAAAAUUGGAAUGAUACAGAGAAAAUUAGCAUGGCCCCUGUGCAAGGAUGACACGCAAAUUCGUGAAGCGAACGUUUGUCCU